rnacentral:rRNA from 1 species
UACGAAGGGUGCAAGCGUUAAUCGGAAUUACUGGGCGUAAAGCGUGCGUAGGCGGUUUCUUAAGUCCGUUGUGAAAGCCCUGGGCUCAACCUGGGAACUGCGAUGGAUACUGAGGAGCUGGAGUACGGUAGAGGAAGGUGGAAUUCCCGGUGUAGCGGUGAAAUGCGUAGAUAUCUGGAGGAGCACCGGUGGCGAAGGCGGCAUCCUGGACCAACACUGACGCUGAGUGAGCGAAAGCCAGGGGAGCAAACGGG